UACGGAGGGUGCAAGCGUUGUUCGGAAUCACUGGGCGUAAAGGGCGCGUAGGCGGCCUGAUAAGUAGGGGGUGAAAUCCUGCGGCUUAACCGCAGGGCUGCCUUCUAAACUGUCAGGCUGGAGCACAGUAGAGGCAGGUGGAAUUCCCGGUGUAGCGGUGGAAUGCGUAGAGAUCGGGAAGAACAUCAGUGGCGAAGGCGGCCUGCUGGGCUGUUGCUGACGCUGAGGCGCGACAGCGUGGGGAGCAAACAGG
rnacentral:rRNA from 1 species